rnacentral:rRNA from 1 species
UAUAGAGGUCUCGAGCGUUGUUCGGAUUCAUUGGGCGUAAAGGGUGCGUAGGUGGCGCUGUAAGUCGGGUGUGAAAUCCUGAGGCUUAACCUCGGAACUGCAUUCGAUACUGCGGCGCUUGAGGACUGGAGAGGAGACUGGAAUUCAUGGUGUAGCAGUGAAAUGCGUAGAGAUCAUGAGGAAGACCAGUGGCGAAGGCGGGUCUCUGGACAGUUCCUGACACUGAGGCACGAAGGCCAGGGGAGCAAACGGG